ACAGACUGUUCAUGUUGUUCCUCAUGUUUCCAGCUUUGGAUCUCCGGGACUGUGGAACAUUUGCUUCAGGGUUUCUCCUGCACGCCUGGAUUUUUAUCCCCUCCCUGCUUCAAAGAAUCAUUUUUGUGCUCGGGUUUUUUUUUUGUUUUGUUUUUAAAUUCCUUAUUUAGCUACUCAAACAAAAACAGAUGUUCCGGUGACAGAAGGCGACACUGAUCGUGUUUUCUCUGUAAAACGAGAAGCAGCGGGCAGAAACCAACUCAAACCUGUUGCAGCUCACCUGUUGACUUCCACCUGAUCUUUCCGUGUCUGUAUGCGUGACUAAUGCAUAUGCCGACCUUUAUAAAGAGCCCAUUGACGGGCUCUCAGUUGACUGUGUACUACAAGAGAUUACACACAAGGACAUGUGUCCCGGGGGCCGCAGCUCCCACACAUGGCAGCCUUAUCUCCCUGAAUGCCGCCUGGAGCCGUGUGAUAAGGAGCGCCCUGGGAUCCUCCAUUAUGAGCUGUGGUGGCGAUGGUGGCGCUCUGAGCAGUCCCCCUUUAAGCACAUUCAUGGUUGAGUGGAAACAUUGUGCAGCUGUGAUUCCUGCAGCGUUCCUCUGCUCUCUGAGAGCCACCGUCAGAGUGGAAAUACUCUCACUGCUAACUGGUGUGUGUGCUACAGCAGCUUAAUGACAGCCUCUGAAAUCAUUAACCUGACUGUGAAGAGGAGGAGGAGGAGGUGUUAAAGCAGGUGCUCCUCCAGCAGGAGCACCUAUGAUGGAGGAGGUGAUCUGUUAUCAGCCCGGGCCACUGAUCUCGCUCACUGAUAACCUCUUUAAUGGAGCUUCAGCUCCUGUAGAAGCUCCUCUGCAUGGACAGGUGUCCUCACCUGCAAACAAACUGGAAUGGGUUUUUUUCUUCUCAUACUCCUACCUUGCCACAUUUCACAGUACUUCUGAUGAGCCCUAAAAAGCACAGAUGUAAACACUGCAGCGCCACCUGUUGGUUACCGAAUAAGCGAAGGGUGGAGCCAAGCGAGGAAAAACAGGGAUAUCUGAUUGAUUGACAUAAGUUGUCCUGAAGUGGAAAGAAGAAAAGUUCAU